GUUGUCGAUGACGAGAUCAGAGCCUUGCCUGCCCCCAGGUUUCCCCGUCGGCAUGUCCUCUGACGGAAGGUCGAUGAAUUUGAAGACUCGGUCCACUGAACGCAUCUAAAGGGAGGAAGAGUUAACUGUCAUCAGAGCUACUCACGGUUGGUUCCAACAGCAAUGAAGGCGGCAGCAGUGAAGAAGAGUACGAAGAGCACAUCACAACGGAAGAGGAACCAUCUCAGGGCAGACAGGUAGUGGAACCAGGUGGCUGUGUGGGUGUUCAGAGCCUUGUGGAAGAGCGUCUCAAAGUAAGUCUGACGGCCAAAUGCACGGAUGGUCCAUAAACCCUUCAGUGAGAGUACGAGGUGAGAGAAGAUGGGGGUGCGAGCUGCUGGCGGAAACAAAGAAGUUCAGAAGGGGCCCACAUGAAGCACUAAUGGGAAGGAGGAGAUGUGUCAACCUCCUGGAACUACCGUGGACUUGGCCGACAUCAAACUUCACCUCAGCGGACUCAACACUUUACAUGUAAACAGUGGGCCCGCCACAGAGCAUUAACAACAAGGAGACAAAGACAAACCUGACAGCAGGUUCUUGUUGUGAGGUUUUUAUCUGUGUUUGGAGUUGCGUUGAGUAAACCCGUUUGCUACCUGCUGGUAUCUCAUGGCCAAUAACACACAUAAACAAUCGGACGCAAAGCAAAGCUGAAUGGAAAAAGUGAAAAAGGUUGUUUGUGCUAAAUGACUGAAGCUGCAGUUACAGUGAAGCUGUGAAAUCAUCUGUGCUUAUCUUUGUACACAGAAUGGCUUCAAUGAAGCACAAUGGUCACUAACACUAUUUGUUGCAAACAUAGACGCACAAUUAUUUUCAACAGACUCCCAGAAACUAAAACACUGCCUUGUUCAGACCACCAUCUUUAUGAUUAAUAUAUUUCAUCAUAAAGACGGCUUUUGUGAACGAACAAAACUGCCUGUUUCUCUUUGAAAAAAAAAUAAACUGCAUUCACCGCAACCUGGUUUAAAUGAACUCUUUCAUCGCAAAAAUCACAGUUCUGUAGUGUCUUGAUUAGGGACAGG